AAUGCACCUUACCUCGAUCAACAUGCAGGAGCUGACAGGACAAGAUAACGCCAAUGGCCCGAGGUCACCAACCUCUGUCUCAGAAGUAAGUGACACUGCUCAUAACAUAACUGACCAAACUACCCCAGUCACAACAGCCACUCAAAUCUCUACUUGCCGACCAUAAAUCCACCUUUCACACAAGGCAGUAAUCAGGGGUUGCUUCCUUAAACA